UAGUGGUUACUUGUUUGACGUUGGGGGUGGGGGUGAGGAGGCUGUGCUACUUUUUUUCGUGUUUUGUUUUGUUAAUUUUUUUUUUUAUGAGAGUUGGCCCAAGUGAGUUUUUUGGUUUUGGUUUUUAAACGAUGGGGCUGUGUGCCCUGAAAACCUUUUGUGAACAGCCUCUUGAAGAUUAUGCAAGAUUGCAUAAAUUAUGGAAUCUGGGGCAAUAAAUGUUCAGAAACGGGAUUAAAACCACACUGAUAGAGUCGGGCGCUUGGAAGUUAAUGUGCAAUAUUUGAGUUACGACCAGCUACAAUUGCUUAUCAAUACAUUCUGGUGCUCAGACAUCUUGUCUUAAGGUUUUUCCCAGUUGUCUUGAAAGCUCAGUUUUCUUGGAAAGCUCGUUGCCCAACCUUUCUGUAAUUGAUCUCAUGAAAGAGGCAGAUGGGACAGUUUGCAUAUGGCCAGAUGAAAUCGUUUAAAAAUCAUUUGGAUGCUUAAAUGACAUUCAAAGGCAUUGCAAUCUCUUUCAUAAGAGGGAGGUGUUCCAACGUGGCCUAAAAAUUAUUUUAGGGAAAAGAGUUCCUCCCUACAAGAUGGGGAUAGAAUUUGAGUAUUUUAAGAUAUUUUCAUUGCUUAUUGCUGCUGUUCCAUCUUUUGAUGGAUAAAUUUUUCUUAAAUGUUGAGUUUUUGAAACUCAAGUGUUUUACGUUCUGGAAUUUAAGAUUUAUAUGUUAUUUCCCACAGAAAGGAUUAAUUUAUGUGUCUUUAAACAUUUGCUUCAUGUAUUUAAUGUGCACUUAAAACACUGCUUACCAUUUUUAGCAUACUGUUUUAGAAGCAUGGAGUUUUAGAAUGGGAAGACACUUUAGAGCUUACUGUCUCUGUUAUUUACCGGUAAAGAGAGCAAGAGUAAAGUAUGUCGUCUCAAGUUCACAACAGGCUAGGACUUAGGGCUGAGAUUUUUUACUUUCUGAUAGUAGCCCAGAAUCACCUGGUAAUGUGUGUUUCCUAUUUUCCCAGUAGGUUAUUCUAACUGAUGUACAGAGGUGACCUGCCUAUCUAGCUUUCUUUAGUGUACUGUUUCUUGAUUGUACUCACCAUUUUCCUGCAGUACUCUCAAGUUGGCUGUUUGUUCAUUAUACAACAGUGGUUUAAACAAAACAAGAAGCCUUACUGAUUCCUUCAAGUGAUUUUUGGGCGCUAGCUGUGAUGUACUUGCUCCCCCAGUAUGGUGAGAAGGCUUUUAAGGCUAUGGCAUGUGAGACUUCACUGCUUCAUGAUACUGUUUUGAAUACAUAAGUAACUGGUGUGUAAGUAUCCACUUGUGGAAAAUGACCAACUUUUUU